GGUAUCAAUAAUAUGUGCUUCUUAAUUGGCUUUACAAAGUAACGGUUAAUUGCAUGGUGAAAAAAGCUAUUUAUUUAUUGUUUUGGGUGAAUAUAACUUUGUUUGAAGUUAUCUUAACUUGCUUAGAGAGACUAUUUGGAACUCAUCCAAUCAGCAAGCAGGGCUGUGAGUGAGCAUGCGCAGUAGAAGCCACCACCGUUCAGUCUCCUGCUCAGGAUUGUUAGCGGUGCCAAUCGGACUGAGCCAACACAUUUUCUGGAAUUUGCCGACAAAUUUGCUAGAGAUUUCAUCGCUUGUGGAACAAUAAGAAGUGCUUGUGGCAACUGCCUUGAGGGCUCUUCACAGCUGCUUUGUCAGUGGGCCUCAGUACACUGGAGAUAAAGCUGACCAACCACAGAUCAUUCCAAAGACCUUCAUCGCUAAGGGAACCAUUGUGGGCAACGGACACGAAAACUGGGCUCUCCUGAGGCUGCUUCCAUUGAUGGACCAUGGGAAGCUAUAAACUAAGAAUCAUCAUAAAUGAAGGGGACAUACGGAAAGUGUCACUGGACAGAAAACCAGAAACGGUUGAAGAGCUGAAGAUAAAAGUCAAAGAAAAAUGCAACCUGCAGGAUGACUUCAAUCUUAUGUAUGAAGACCCUGACUUUGGUUAUUCCCUCUGCAACCUAGAUGACAUAGGAGACUUGCCAGCUACAAAAGCAACUGUGAAGGUCAUUUCAUUGGUGACACUGACACUGGUGCCUGCUUCCACCACCAGCAUUUCUGAUGCCUCAAAUGUCUCAGAUGAUACAGAGAUUCUGUCGACAUACAGCUCAUCAUCAUCAACAAGACAAGAGCAAUGGCCAGAGUUUUUUGAGAUUCCAAACUUCUCGGUUGAUGUAGAAUUCAGACUGAGACAGGCUAAUCUUCAGUU